GAUGAACGCUAGCGGCAGGCCUAACACAUGCAAGUCGAGGGAGAAGCCCUUUCGGGGGCAGAAACCGGCGCACGGGUGCGUAACGCGUAUGCAACCUACCUUUCACAGGGGGAUAGCCCGAAGAAAUUUGGAUUAAUACCCCAUAAUAUUGUUGGAUGGCAUCAUCUGGCAAUUAAAGCUACGACGGUGGAAGAUGGGCAUGCGUCCUAUUAGCUAGUUGGAGUGGUAACGGCACCCCAAGGCUACGAUAGGUAGGGGUCCUGAGAGGGAGAUCCCCCACACUGGUACUGAGACAGGGACCAGACUCCUACGGGAGGCAGCAGUGAGGAAUAUUGGUCAAUGGUCGGAAGACUGAACCAGCCAUGCCGCGUGCAGGAAGAAUGCCUUAUGGGUUGUAAACUGCUUUUAUAUGGGAAGAAUAAGGUGUACGAGUACAUUGAUGACGUACCAUAUGUAAGCUCGCA
rnacentral:rRNA from 1 species